rnacentral:tRNA from 1 species
AAACUUUAUAGUUUAUAAAAAACAUAAAAUUGCAAAUUUUAAGAAGAGAAUUUCUAAAGUUUA